AGGAUGUAGUGAAAGAGAUACUCUCACAGGACUGGUGGUGAGAGUCUAAGUUGAUACAUCUUUUCUGGAAGACAAUUGGGCAAUUUGUACCAACAUCCUUGAGGGGCUGGCCGGGUGGCAUAGCAGUUAAGUUUGUGCACUCCGCUUCAGCAGCCUGGGGUUCACUGGUUCGGAUCCCGGGCAUGGAUGUACACACUGCUUAUCAAGCCAUGCUGUGGCAGGCAUCCCACAUCUUGUACCUAAAAUUUCACCAUUAAGAGGGUCCUUGGGCCAGCCCCGGUGGCCUCGUGGUUAAGUUUGGCAUGCUCUGCUUUGGCUGCCUGGGUUUGGAUCCUGGGCAUGGACGUACACCACUCAUCUGUUAGUGGCCAUGCUGUGGCCGUGGCUCACAUGAAAAAGAAAAAACAAUGAGGACUGGCAACUGAUGUUAGCUCAGGGCGAAUCUUCCUCAGCCAAAAAAAAAAGAGAGAGAGAGGGUCCUUAAAGUUAUUCAACAAGUCUCUAGAAAAACACAAAGAUUUCUUAACUUGGGGUGGGAUGGGGGUGGAGAUUAGUAAGAAGUCACACAAGAACAAACCAGUGGUAGCCCUGGAAUUCCUACAUGAGGGGCUUAGAGGUGGCAAUCCAGUGAGAAGAGGAGUGGAGUGGGGACAGACAGUGGAAGGGUUGGGAGUAACUAUAGUAAAGCAGUGUUUUCCUAGUGAGCACACAGUUUUCAAAUACGCUAUUUAUUUGGGGUGGCUUUGGGAAGAUACUGACAGAAAUUUGGGAUGCUAAAGACUCCCCCAUAAACUACCCCUUGACUCUACCACUGCGACAAGAGAAACAAACUGAGCACCAAGACCUUGGAAAUCAAGACACAGGAGUCCUGGAUUUGGGGGUGGAGGGAGGACUUCAAAUUCAGUCCCCUCCCUCCUUAGUCAUUUUGCUUGUCAGAGGCAGGCAAACACCCCAAGGCUGAGCUGAGGAAUAUCCAUGAGGGUUUUUUGACCCCGGAAUUCUCUGCAGGGUCUCCUCCCUGGAGGAGGCCGAGGAGGGAGUGCAGCCCCUUGGACCAAGAACGGCAGGAGAAGGGCAGAGUAAACUGUGGGCUGGAUUGUCCAGUCACAUGACGCCAUCUCACUGCUUCUUGUCACGUAAUCUCUUUUUCCCUCCUCCUCUAGUCUCUCCCUCUCCUCCUUUCCCCUCCCUUUGCUCUCUUUUGAUUUGGUUAAAAUAGAUGCAAACUCUGGUCUUUUCUAUUUUUAAUACCCAGCCAUUACAUAAUCCACACCGUAAUUGCUGACUUGAAAAACUACUGGCAACAGUAGAAAAUCCCCAGAGUUUUAAACAGGAAAAGGAUUAUUACAGCACAAAAGCCUUUGGCAGUUUUACUGACUAGUAAACCAUCUGUAAUCGUCACUUGCCAGUGGAAGUCACAUGGGCCCUGGGAAACACUCUCCCCACCUCAGGGAAAGCAGGCUGGGGGAAGGGAUGAAUCGCAGCCUCAGCUGGGAGGAGAACGCUUUGUGUGGCAAAGCAGGGGACAAGGUGGUACUCCUGGAGCUCCCACUGGGCCCAGAAGUGAGGGCUGAAGGAGUCAGCUUCAGGUUACCCCGGGGCCACCUUCUACAGCUUUUGUUUCCUGCAAGGGAGUGAAGUCUCCAGAAUCCAGGACCUUUCCCUCAUCGACUUCCCAGGCGUUCCUACAGGAUCCAACACUUCCUGAGUGAGCCUGAGUGAGCACGGACUAUUCCAGUUAAAUAAUUUUAUAAAGACACAGGAGCAAGGAAGACUGCUUGUUAAUCACAGAGACCUGACCCACUCCUCUGCAAGGCUUUCCACAUAUUAGGCCAAUCACCACAAUAGUGAAUUCUUCAAUAAAAUGGUCCAAUAAAAAUAUAAGAAAUAGAGCUUUGGUAAAGGGUUUCACAACCAAAUCGAAAUUAGCUAUCUCAUUGAGACAAAAUUCUCUGUAUGUGCUUUAGGGUAUGAAUAGCAUAGGAGAUGCAGAGGGGACAAGGACAACUUUCCCUGAUUUUGCCAAUUCUGCCACAACCCUAACCCCAAUAAUCAAGGUGGGUCAGUCCAAUUUGAGUAACUAUACAUGACAAUUCAUUCAACAGAUGUUUGCUGAAUGCCACACGCUGGGCUGUUGCUGGGGGUAUAACAGUAAGCACAAUCACUGCCCUGGUGGAACUGCCAGGUCAGCGAGGAAGGCAGACAUUAAUCAAAUAUUACAUAAAAACGUCAUUACAAACCAUGGUGAAGGGUGACAAGGGAAAAGGAUAGGGCGCUAGGGGCAUUUAGAACAAGGGGACUUGAUAAGGUCUGAAGGUUCCUAGAGGAUUACCCUAAAGACUUCAGGGUUCUUACAAUUCAGCACCUCAUCUUCCUCCCCUCCCCCUCCCUCCCUUCUUCCUUGCUUCCUACAGUUAAUAUUUACUGUUUUUUUCUAUGUACAGAAGAUAAAAUUAGGUUCUUUACAUAUAUGGUCUCACUUGAUUCAUAUAGCAAACUUACAGUUCAAGACACUUUAAGACAAAAGGAUCUGGUGAGAAAGGUCAAACCAUACUUUUUAAUGAGAACUAUAUACAAUUCAUAACAUGAAUUAAGACUACUACCUGCAGAUGACAAAAAUCCAAAUUAAAUUUUCAUAAGAAAAAAAAAGGAAAGCCUGGGCCUCUGUAAAUGAAAUGUCCAGAGUUAGACUAGCUUAAGGAAUAGUUAGGUCUAGGUGCUGAAAAGAUGUCAUCUAGUCUCCAUCUCUUUCCACCUCCCAGCUCAGCUUUCAUCUGUGUUGACUUCAGCACUCCCGUGGGGCGGCAAGAUAGCCACCAGCCGCCUCAGGGUUACAAACAUUCUACAGGCUUGGUGACCCAGUUGGAAAAGAAAUGAGAAUUCACUUCUUAAUAGUUCCAACAAAAGUCAGGAAGUCCUGAUUGGCCUGGAUUUAACACCAUGCCCAUGCCAACCGCUGUUCUCUGAUAGGCAUGGUUAUAUGUCCCCUAUCCAGAACCCAGAGAUAGACCUGACCCCAUCAGAGCCCAGACUGAGAAUGGGGAAGGAGGUAGCCCCAAAGGAAAAUCAAGGUGCUCUUACCUAAGAAGAGAGAAUGCGUACUGGGCAGGCAAAGCCCACCCAUCUCUGCU
ensembl:lncRNA